rnacentral:rRNA from 1 species
GAUGAACGCUGGCGGCGUGCCUAAUACAUGCAAGUCGAGCGAACAGACGAGGAGCUUGCUCCUCUGACGUUAGCGGCGGACGGGUGAGUAACACGUGGAUAACCUACCUAUAAGACUGGGAUAACUUCGGGAAACCGGAGCUAAUACCGGAUAAUAUAUUGAACCGCAUGGUUCAAUAGUGAAAGACGGUUUUGCUGUCACUUAUAGAUGGAUCCGCGCCGCAUUAGCUAGUUGGUAAGGUAACGGCUUACCAAGGCAACGAUGCGUAGCCGACCUGGGAGGGGGAUCGGCCACACUGGAACUGAAACGCGGUCCAGACUCCUACGGGAGGCAGCAGUAGGGAAUCUUCCGCAAUGGGCGAAAGCCUGACGGAGCAACGCCGCGUGAGUGAUGAAGGUCUUCGGAUCGUAAAACUCUGUUAUUAGGGAAGAACAAAUGUGUAAGUAACUAUGCACGUCUUGACGGUACCUAAUCAGAAAGCCACGGCUAACUACGUG